GAUGAACGCUGGCGGCGUGCCUAACACAUGCAAGUCGAACGGAGAUUACGGACGGAAGUUUUCGGAUGGAAGCCUGUAAUUCUUAGUGGCGGACGGGUGAGUAACGCGUGGGCAACCUGCCCUAUACAGGGGGAUAGCAGCUGGAAACGGCUGGUAAGACCGCAUAAGUCGGUUAAAUCGCAUGAUUUGAUCGGGAAAUGAGCAAUCAGGUAUAGGAUGGGCCCGCGUCCGAUUAGCCAGUUGGCAGGGUAAAAGCCUACCAAAGCGACGAUCGGUAGACGGACUGAGAGGUAGGACGGCCACAUUGGGACUGAGACACGGCCCAAACUCCUACGGGAGGCAGCAGUGGGGGAUAUUGCACAAUGGAGGAAACUCUGAUGAAGCGACGCCGCGUGAGUGAAGAAGUAUUUCGGUAUGUAAAGCUCUAUCAGCAGGGAAGAUGAUGACGGUACCUGACUAAGAAGCCCCGGCUAACUACGUG
rnacentral:rRNA from 1 species